GCAAGUCGAGGGGUAACAGGAGUGCUUGCACUUGCUGACGACCGGCGCACGGGUGCGUAACGCGUAUACAAUCUGCCUUGUAGUAGGGGAUAGCCUUUAGAAAUGAAGAUUAAUACCCUAUAGUCUAUUUGAUUGGCAUCAAUUAAAUAGUAAAGGUUACGGUACAAGAUGAGUAUGCGUCCUAUUAGUUAGUUGGUAAGGUAACGGCUUACCAAGACAACGAUAGGUAGGGGCCCUGAGAGGGGGAUC
rnacentral:rRNA from 1 species